UGGACGGACCACUGGUGUACCUGUUGGCGACCAACGCCAUAGCAGGGUAGCCAAGUCCGGCAGGGAUAAACGCUGAAGGCAUCUAAGCGUGAAGCCCCCCUCAAGAUGAGAUAUCCCAACGCAAGUUGUAAGACCCCUUGAAGACGACGAGGUAGAUAGGCUUAAGGUGUAAGUGCAGAGAUGCAUUCAGCUGAUAAGUACUAAUCGGUCGAGGGCUUAUCCAG
rnacentral:rRNA from 1 species